UGUCAGCUCCUCUGAAUGGCAUAAUCGCUCCCUAAACAACUCCCAUCCUGAGGCAAACACACACUGAAUCUGCAGCCCAGAAAAAAUAAAGAGAAUCUCACCUGCAAAUCAACACAACGAAUGAUGAAAUGUUCUCCACCAGUUCCACCAAAUCUCAGCAGUGUAACUUUACAA